AUUGAACGCUGGCGGCAGGCUUAACACAUGCAAGUCGAGCGAGCGGCGGACGGGUGAGUAAUGUCUGGGAAACUGCCUGAUGGAUGGGGAUAACUACUGGAAACGGUAGCUAAUACCGCAUACCAUCAGAUGUUCCCUGAUGGGAUUAGCUAGUAGGGGGGGUAAUGGCUCACCUAGGCGACGAUCCCUAGCUGGUCUGAGAGGAUGACCAGCCACACGGGAACUGAGACACGGGCCAGACUCCUACGGGAGGCAGCAGUGGGUAAUAGUGCAGCAUGGGCGCAAGCGUGAUGCAGCCAUGCCGCGGGUGUGAAGAAGGCCUUCGGGUUGUAAAGCACUUUCAGCGAGGAGGCGUUACUCGCAGAAGAAGCACCGGCUAACUCCGUGCCAGCAGCCGCGGUAAUAC
rnacentral:rRNA from 1 species